rnacentral:rRNA from 1 species
AGAGUUUGAUCCUGGCUCAGAACGAACGCUGGCGGCAGGCUUAACACAUGCAAGUCGAACGCGUGUAGCAAUACACGAGUGGCGGACGGGUGAGUAACGCGUGGGAACGUGCCCUGAGGUACGGAAUAACUGCGGGAAACUGCAGCUAAUACCGUAUGAGCCCCGCAAGGGGGAAAGAUUUAUCGCCUUAGGAGCGGCCC